CCUACGGGAGGCAGCAGUUUCGAAUCGUUCACAAUGGGGGCAACCCUGAUGGCGCGACGCCGCGUGGGGGAUGAAGGUCUUCGGAUUGUAAGCUCCUGUCAUUGGGGACUAAUGGCCAGGCUCAUACCCUGGUUUGAAUUAACCCAAAGAGGAAGCAGUGGCUAACUCUGUGCCAGCAGCCGCGGUAAUACAGAGACUGCAAGCGUUACUCGGAUUCACUGGGCGUAAAGGGAGCGCAGGCGGACUCAUGUGUCGGACGUGAAAUACCGGGGCUUAACCCCGGUGCUGCGUCCGAAACUAUGAGUCUAGAGACUUGGAGGGGUAAGCGGAAUUCUUGGUGGAGCAGUGAAAUGCGUAGAUAUCAAGAGGAACACCAACGGCGAAGGCAGCUUACUGGACAAGAUCUGACGCUCAGGCUCGAAAGCGUGGGGAGCAAAAGGGAUUAGAUACCCCUGUAGUCCACGCUGUAAACGGUGCGCAUUAGGUCUUGGAGCUUUCGAACGCUCCAGGGCUCAAGCUAACGCGAUAAAUGCGCCGCCUGAGGACUACGGCCGCAAGGCUAAAACGUCAAAGGAAUUGACGGCUGAGACGNGCGAGGCGACGACGAGGGAGGAGG
rnacentral:rRNA from 1 species